rnacentral:rRNA from 1 species
AACGGUAGCUAUACCGCAUAACGUCGCAAGCCCAAAGAGGGGGACCUUCGGGCCUCUUGCCAUCGGAUGUGCCCAGAUGGGAUUAGCUAGUAGGUGGGGUAACGGCUCACCUAGGCGACGAUCCCUAGCUGGUCUGAGAGGAUGACCAGCCACACUGGAACUGAGACACGGUCCAGACUCCUACGGGAGGCAGCAGUGGGGAAUAUUGCACAAUGGGCGCAAGCCUGAUGCAGCCAUGCCGCGUGUAUGAAGAAGGCCUUCGGGUUGUAAAGUACUUUCAGCGGGGAGGAAGGGAGUAAAGUUAAUACCUUUGCUCAU